rnacentral:rRNA from 1 species
AUGGAGAAGGCGCCAGAAACGCGCGCUCCCAAGAGGCGUAGAUCUGAUAGAGAAUCACCGUGGGGCGGAGGCAGGAGCGGCAACUUCAGUGGCGAGCCCGACAUCCUGGGCGUGGUUGACGGCUGGUUUCGCUCCGGGUCCCUCGCCGGCCUCCAGGACCUCCAUGUCUCCAACCUGGAGUGGCCGCACUGCCCGCUGCCGCUGCCAUCGCACGCGCUGAUCCGCUCCGCGCGCUCAAUCUUUUGGACUGCCAAUUCCCCGAUCUGUGUCUCGGAGGACUGCCUCCAAGGCAUCAUCUCCAGAUGCACCAUUUUGGAAAGCGUUUCACUCUACAAUAUGGCAUUGGGCCGCCUUUGCAUCAACUCGCCCACUAUUAGGUCCAUCACCUGCUAUGGUCAUUACGAACAAGGUUUCAAGGAGCUGGUCAUUGAGGACGCCCCUUGCCUUGAGAGGUUGCUAGCAAUUUGUCCACACACUGGUCCGGAGGCCAUCCGAGUGAUGCGGGCUCCUAAACUGGAGAUACUGGGUUUGUUGUCUGAAGACAUAUCCGCACUCUGCAUUGGAACCACAUUCUUUCAGGCCUCUUCGUCCGGUUCAAUUGACGCCCCAUCCCGUUAUCAACGACCACCCCACCACGGAGGAGCCUCCUCUCACCUGCCCCUCCUUCCUCCCGGCGGUGCCCUCCUCCCCUUGUCGGCGCAGCGUCGACGACCAUGGAGCUCAUUUGCCUUGCCAUGGCGACUACGCCUGAUGAACCAGUUCCAAUACAACAAUCACGCGCGGAGCUGCAUGUACCGGAGGAGUGCGGCGGCGACUGAGAGCACGUCAGCGAAUACUGAGCAGGGCACGAGAAAGUGGCCCUCCGGCCAUACGGCCGUGCCCCUGGCUUGCGAGCCGGCAGUCGCUGGAGUCGAAGAACUUAACCAGCGGCGGCGAGUCAAGCACGUGAUCCCGCACAUCAGCCGCAUCCAACUUGAGGGGGCAGCGAUACGACGCCAGCGAUGCUGGCGGUGGACCGCCCACAAGGUCCACGGAGGGAGGUACGUGCUGACCAUGACGUGCGUCCGGAUGCUGUUGGCGCCGGACACCACCGGCGCUAAUGGUCUCCCGAAGCAUGCAGCGCAUGAACGCCGCCUCGCGUCAGUCACCAUGUUACCCGUUCGUCAUCGCUUUUGUCUCGGUUGUCAGCCCUUGCCGCCUGAGCCCGGGCUUGCAGCGCCGCACGGCCAAGUUGAUAUGUGCCGCAUUGUGCCGCCUUUGCUAUCGCAGCGCCCAGUCGCCUCUAACCAAUGUGUGAAGCCGCGACCAUGCCUGGGCGCCUGGCCGUCCCAAGCCUGGACGCCUCCAACGCGCGAAGUCGCGGACCAUGUGGUUGCGCGCUGUCUAGCUGUUCCCGUGGCCGGUCGCCACCUCCACGCGCUCGCCGUGGCUCGCUGGAGCUGCAGCCGCGGCUCAGCACAUGAACAACCGUGUCGCCACCACUACGGACGCUGCCUCUGGAGAUUAACCACUCGCGACCCGCAUGGCCUUUCUCCGCGAUGGACAAACGUCGUUUCUUCGCUACUGCCUCCUUCACUUUUUCAUUUUUGGCCGCCCAUAGGUGCCUGCACUCACCGGUGCAAUUUUUGGAGGGAUAAGAUUACCUGCAUGGCAGCCGAUGUGACUACGUGCAUGUGGCUACUGCAAGGGACCGAGCCUAUUAAAGGUGUGGAUAUGCUGCGUUUAAGUUUGUGGUUUUCCCUGGUUGUUAUAUAUGUUUCCCUCAUGGCAAAGCGUGGUGACUCCCUGCGAAAAAAAGGCGUGCUGGCUCUGCUGGGCGUCGAUCGGGUCGUCCGUGUAGAAGUGCAUGCUCUAGCCAAUGCAACCAAAAGACCGAUCUGA